CAAUAGCGUAUAUUAAAGUUGUUGCGGUUAAAAAGCUCGUAGUUGGAUCUCGGCAGGCAGGGGGUGGUUCGCUCUUAGCGCUACUGCCCCAUUUGCCUUUGUGAUUGGCGGAGGUUUCGGGGUGCUCUUCGUUGAGUGACCCGGGGCGCCGUCAGGUUUACUUUGAAAAAAUUAGAGUGCUCAAAGCAGGCUUUUUACGCUUGAAUAUUCGUGCAUGGAAUAAUGGAAUAGGAACUCGUUUCUAUUUUGUUGGUUUUCGGAAAUCGAGUUAAUGAUUAAUAGGGACAAUUGGGGGCAUUAGUAUUCAGACGACAGAGGUGAAAUUCUUGGACCGUCUGAAGACUAACUACUGCGAAAGCAUUUGCCAAGAAUGUUUUCAUUAA
rnacentral:rRNA from 1 species